UACGUAGGGUGCAGGCGUUAAUCGGAAUUACUGGGCGUAAAGCGUGCGCAGGCGGUUUCUUAAGUCAGAUGUGAAAGCCCCGGGCUUAACCUGGGAACUGCGUUUGAAACUGGGAGACUUGAGUGUGGCAGAGGGGGGUGGAAUUCCACGUGUAGCAGUGAAAUGCGUAGAUAUGUGGAGGAACACCGAUGGCGAAGGCAGCCCCCUGGGUUAACACUGACGCUCAUGCACGAAAGCGUGGGUAGCAAACAGG
rnacentral:rRNA from 1 species